UGCAAAAAGCUAACAUCGAAAACCAAACAAUGUCAAGACAACCAGGAAACGUGUCUUGGGAGGCCACUCAGGCCCGCUUCGACUGGCUUACCAACUUCGAGAUAUUGGUUCAAUGCAGAAGUGACGAAUGGACCGGCAAUGGUUUCAGGUGCACCCACAUUCCCACAAUGAACGCUUCAAAAGACGCCACCCAUGGUAGCGCCUGCUACGCGCUGGGUAGGCCGACCCGCCAAGCAGCUGAGCGGAGCCGGCGGCCCGCCCAGAGCGCCUGAGUGCGGGAGCGUCGGGAGCGAGCGAGAGGGCGUUUGUCGCCCAGCAGCUUCACGUCGCGCCACCUCGGGGAACGUCUGUGGGAGCUACUUUAGAUGUACGGAGAGGCCAAAGGGUGACGUCAACGUCAAACCAGCUGUGUACGGAGCUCAACACCACGGAACAGGGAACAGGAAGGUUGGCGCUACGGAUUGAGCCUCGGCGCGCUGUGCUGUGCAGGCAGCUCUACAGCCUCUACAGCAGCAGACCGGCGGAGCGGAGUGGAGCCGAGGUCGUCAUCGAGCCUCUCUCACUUCGACAGGCUCCCUCCUCCCCUGUCGUCCCUGGUGAGAGAGAGAAAGAGAGGAUGGGAGGAGGGGGGGCCUUCCCGUUCCCCGUCCCUCCUCUGCCGAGGUGACAGGAACAACACAAUCGAGCACGGCACGCCGCCGCCACUACCGGGCAAUCACUUUUUUCGUGAAGGACUUUUCCUCGAUUUUGACUAUCUUUUCCACUUUAUUAGCAAUAAUUUCGCAAUUGUUUCUUUCGUAAAAAAAUGAAUUAGGUACACCAGAACUUGCUGUCUCUCACCAAUUGAAAGCCUCUGCCUCAUAUGUACAGCCCACACAGUUAAGUGACAAUGAAGCAACUUGGUAAAACUUUUAACAGCAGAUUAUUUUAAGUCAUAGUUAGGCCUCUUUGAGGUCUAAAAAGUAUGACCUUCGAUCAGCUGAUGACAUCAAAUCAUCAUUACUUAAUGUUUUAUCUCAAAUUAGCAAAUUGCGGAAAUUCGCCUUUCCAUUUUGAAAAAAACGACACAAGAAAACUUACAUAUAGCGUAAAGUAUCAUAGCACAAAACUUCAUUUCCAUCAAGAUGAAGUCCCUCUGCAGGCGUCUUGUACCAAUUCAUUCCUUUGCAUAUGUGUCUUGAUACAAGAUAGAGGUUUAGGAUCUAAGUCAACAGCAGUUAUUUUUAAAAUGUACUUUGUUUUCGAGGGUACAUCUUCAACUGCUGGUAAUAUUUGAGCCUCAAAACUAUUCUCUUUCCUAA